rnacentral:rRNA from 1 species
GAUGAACGCUGGCGGCGUGCUUAACACAUGCAAGUCGAACGAUGAAGCCCAGCUUGCUGGGUGGAUUAGUGGCGAACGGGUGAGUAACACGUGAGUAACCUGCCCUUAACUCUGGGAUAAGCCUGGGAAACUGGGUCUAAUACCGGAUAGGAGCGUCCACCGCAUGGUGGGUGUUGGAAAGAUUUAUCGGUUUUGGAUGGACUCGCGGCCUAUCAGCUUGUUGGCGAGGUAAUGGCUCACCAAGGCGACGACGGGUAGCCGGCCUGAGAGGGUGACCGGCCACACUGGGACUGAGACACGGCCCAGACUCCUACGGGAGGCAGCAGUGGGGAAUAUUGCACAAUGGGCGCAAGCCUGAUGCAGCGACGCCGCGUGAGGGAUGACGGCCUUCGGGUUGUAAACCUCUUUCAGUAGGGAAGAAGCGAAAGUGACGGUACCUGCAGAAGAAGCACCGGCUAACUACGUG